AUCCAGCUGACGAGUCCCUAAUAAGACGAAACGCGCGUCCUGGAU
rnacentral:hammerhead_ribozyme from 1 species